AUUGAACGCCGGCGGCAGGCUUGACACAUGCAAGUCGAGCGGGGUGAUGGUGCUUGCACUAUCACUUAGCGGCGGACGGGUGAGUAAUGCUUAGGAAUCUGCCUAUUAGUGGGGGACAACAUCCCGAAAGGGAUGCUAAUACCGCAUACGUCCUACGGGAGAAAGCAGGGGAUCACUUGUGACCUUGCGCUAAUAGAUGAGCCUAAGUCGGAUUAGCUAGUUGGUGGGGUAAAGGCCUACCAAGGCGACGAUCUGUAGCGGGUCUGAGAGGAUGAUCCGCCACACUGGGACUGAGACACGGCCCAGACUCCUACGGGAGGCAGCAGUGGGGAAUAUUGGACAAUGGGGGGAACCCUGAUCCAGCCAUGCCGCGUGUGUGAAGAAGGCCUUAUGGUUGUAAAGCACUUUAAGCGAGGAGGAGGCUCUUUUGGUUAAUACCCAAGAUGAGUGGACGUUACUCGCAGAAUAAGCACCGGCUAACUCUGUGCCAGCCGCCGCGGUAA
rnacentral:rRNA from 1 species